rnacentral:rRNA from 1 species
AUUGAACGCUAGCGGGAGGCCUAACACAUGCAAGUCGAACGAGUGGCGGACGGGUGAGUAAUAUCUCGGAACGUGCCCAGUAGCGGGGGAUAACUACUGGAAAGGUGGCUAAUACCGCAUACCAUCGGAGCUGCCCAUAUGGGAUUAGCUAGUUGGUGGGGUAAAGGCUCACCAAGGCGACGAUGCCUAGCCGGUCUAAGAGGGGGAGCGGCCAGACUGGACCUGAGACACGGCCCAGACUCCUACGGGAGGCAGCAGUGGGGAAUCUUGCGCAAUGGGCGAAAGGCUGACCCAGCCACGCCGCGUGAUUGAAGAAGGUUUUCGGUUCGUAAAAUUCUGUUGUUAAUGAAGCGUUAACUACCCAAGAAGCCCCGGCUAACUGCGUGCCAGCAGCCGCGGUAAUUC